AGUGUGUUAACACAGUCUGGAGGUAAGAAAAGUACUUUUAAACCAUACAAAGGGGCAUGUCAUGUUUUCCUUUGUUAUUGUAAAAUAUUACUAUUUGUUUGAUGAAAAGUGUGUUUUUGUACAUGUGCCUAAUAUGACUAUGUAAAGAAAUUUGUAUCAGUCAAAGUAUUCAAAAAUCGUCCGUAAACAUGACUGUAAUAAAAUAUUUUAUUGAUUGAUUAAAUUUUUUAGGGGAUGAUAGAAUAGUGAAAUAUCCUACAAGCAGACGAGAUGGCAUUGUCAACACUGGGCCGAUUCGUCGUUUACCUAGACCAAGACCUCGGGGUGGGGGGAGAUAGUGACAACAAAGAACGAUUACGUGAUCUAUUGUCCCGGCAACACCCAAGAAUGAAGUGAUGAAUUAUGGACCCAUAUUAUUGCAUCAUUUAUCUAUUACUUAUUUUGUAUUUCUACACAUAAAUUUUUUUAAAGUG
rnacentral:misc_RNA from 1 species